rnacentral:rRNA from 1 species
GAAUCUUGCGCAAUGCGCGAAAGCGUGACGCAGCAACGCCGCGUGGGGGAAGACGGCCUUCGGGUUGUAAACCCCUUUCAGGAGGGACGAAGGUUCGCCGGUGAAUAGCCGUGCGGAUUGACGGUACCUCCACAAGAAGCUCCGGCUAACUACGUGCCAGCAGCCGCGGUAAUACGUAGGGAGCAAGCGUUGUCCGGAAUCAUUGGGCGUAAAGCGCGCGUAGGUGGCUCCGUAAGUCCGUUGUGAAAGUCAAAGGCUCAACCUUUGAAAGCCGAUGGAUACUGUGGAGCUAGAGUACGGAAGAGGCGAGUGGAAUUCCUGGUGUAGCGGUGGAAUGCGCAGAUAUCAGGAGGAACACCAAUAGCGAAGGCAGCUCGCUGGGACGUUACUGACACUGAGGCGCGAAAGCGUGGGGAGCGAACAG